rnacentral:rRNA from 1 species
ACGGCUCAGUAACACGUGGACAACCUACCCUCAGCACGGGGAUAAACCCGGGAAACUGGGUAUAAUACCCGAUAGUUCUGGGAUGCUGGAAUGCUUCCAGGACGAAAGCUCCGGCGACUGAGGAUGGGUCUGCGGCCUAUCAGGUAGUAGUGGGUGUAAUGUACCUACUAGCCUACGACGGGUACGGGUCGUGAGAGCGAGAGCCCGGAGAUGGAUUCUGAGACACGAAUCCAGGCCCUACGGGGUGCAGCAGGCGCGAAAACUUUACAAUGCUGGCAACAGCGAUAAGGGGACCUCGAGUGCCAGGAUACAAUCUUGGCUGUCGUGAUGCCUAAAAAGCAUUACAUAGCAAGGGCCGGGCAAGACCGGUGCCAGCCGCCGCGGUAACACCGGCGGCUCGAGUGGUAACCGCUAUUAUUGGGUCUAAAGGGUCUGUAGCCGGCCGGAUAAGUCUUUUGGGAAAUCCAGCUGCUCAACAGUUGGGCUUUCAGAAGAUACUGUUCGGCUCGAGGCCGGGAGAGGUGAGAGGUACUUCAGGGGUAGGGGUGAAAUCUUGUAAUCCUUGAAGGACCACCAGUGGCGAAGGCGUCUCACCAGAACGGUCCUGACGGCAAGGGACGAAAGCUAGGGGCACGAACCGGAUUAGAUACCCGGGUAGUCCUAGCCGUAAACGAUACUCGCUAGGUGUCAGCCACGGUGCGACCGUGGUUGGUGCCGUAGGGAAGCCGUGAAGCGAGCCACCUGGGAAGUACGGCCGCAAGGCUGAAACUUAAAGGAAUUGGCGGGGGAGCAC